UAUGAGCUAUUUAUGGGAAGCUUUCAACCACAUUUCUAGCAUUAUUGACAAGAUCUACAAGCAGCUAACCAAGAGCAAUACACAUCAAAUGGGUGGGACUGCUUAUCUAAACCUAGAGAAUGAGGAUGAUCCGUUUCUACAUGGUAUAAAGUAUACUACAAUGUCCCCAACAAAGCGUUUUCGUGACAUGGAAAAGCUCUCUGGAGGAGAGAAAACAGUUGCGGCCUUGGCAUUGCUCUUCUCCAUCCAUAGGUAUCCCUAAAGACCUAGUGACUUUGUCAUCUUGUUAGGUUUUGAGGUUCUGAUGAAGUUGCUGGUACUGUUUUCCCUUUCCAUCUUCUCAGCUACAGGCCUUCGCCUUUUUUCAUACUGGAUGAAGUGGAUGCUGCGCUCGAUAAUCUAAACGUUGCAAAAGUUGCUCAGUUUAUUCGUACCAGAUCCUGCCAAGCCGCAUGUGACAAUCAGGAAGCAAAGGAUGGGAAUGGCUUUCAAAGCAUUGUAAUAUCUCUCAAGGACAGCUUCUAUGACAAGGCCGAAGCGCUUGUUGGAGUUUACAGAGACGUCGAGAAGAGGUGAUGAUUCCCACAUCAAAUCUCUACUUGUAUCUUAUUUAACCAUGCGUGCUACCAUUAUUUUGGCUAAUAUCUGAGAACUUGUUCACGAUUCAUUUGCUGCAGUUGCUCGACUACAAUGUCGUUUGAUCUUAGGAACUACCAAGAAUCGUGAUAGGUUCUGAAUAAGAAAAUGAACGAAUUAAACGAGAGGAGACAAGAUAGCAGCGGAAAGCUACCAAUGCUUGACAGUCAACUGCAAGACUAUUUUCGAAUGUGAGUUUGAAAGAUAUAAGGUUUUUCCCUCUCUUUUAGUCAGAAGCAUUGCCAUUUUCCAACUGUCUUGAGGUUAUCAAUGUUCACCAACUUGCAUUCUCUAUGUGAUCGAUUUAGUGGUGACAUGAAUACUUGGGUUUACUUGCUAUUUCACACUCUAUUUUAUCAAGUUUAGUGAACGAAUUGUUGGGUGGGCAUUUAGUAAGUCUUUUCUCUGCUUUGAAGAAUGGUCUAACCAAACAAAUUGUUAAGCGUUUUGUUUGACAGAAUGACAUAUAUUUGGUUGUUUUUACAAGCUAUUAUAUUUGCUGUCCUUCUGAGUUUUUGUACUAUUCUUCUAGAUUCACCAUCUACAUGCAUAUUCUUCCACCCUUUUGAAUCCUUAUGAACCACUUUGUUUUCUUAUCGAUUUUCCUUCAUGUUUAUCAAUCUCAGAAAAGAAGAAGCUGGGAUGAAAACCAUCAAGCUAAGAGAUGAGAAAGAGGUUCUAGAUAGGCAAUAUCACGCUGAUCUCGAAGCAUUGAGGAAUCUGGAAGAAAACUAUCAGCAACUAAUAAAUAGGGAGAAUGAUCUUGAUGAACAAAUUGAGCGAAUGAAAUCCAGGCAAAAAGAGAUCGACGAUUCUUCUUCGGAAUAUAAGAAUGAACACUGCAAGAAAAGCAUCGAGAUGCCAGGUUAGUAUGUGUCCUCCACUCACUAGAUUGUCUAGUGUCAGAAAGUUGUGUUUUUAUUUUAAUCUGAUAGUUUCUAACCCGCUUCUACGAUGCACAGAAAGGCGUCUGAGAAAUUGAAGACUAGUAUCGCAGAAUUAGAAGACCGGUUGAGUGAUCUAACGGCUGAAAGAUACGAAAAUGAGAGAGAUAGUAGGCUAACGCAGGCUGUUGAGUCUCUCAAGCGUCUAUUUCAAGGAGUUCAUGGUCGGAUGACUGAUCUUUGUCGACCAAACCGGAAGAAGUACAACCUUGCAGUUACUGUUGCUAUGGGGAGAUUUAUGGAUGCAGUAGUUGUAGAAGAUGAAAACACCGGAAAGGACUGCAUCAAGGUAUUUCGUAUAUGCUUCUUGUUUUGUUCCAUAGUUGUGCAUACUUUUUCAUAAUUCUAUCUCUUCUCAGCUGACAAUUACAGUUUAUUUGAAUAAGAUAUUCUUUACCAUAAUACUAUACUCUAGCCUAUGCCAACAAAUUAAUAGUGCAUUAAACACUACCACCUCUUAACGGUGAUCAAUUCAUAUUAUUGCUAAGUAGGGAAAAUGUGUUAUAAAAGAGUAGGUAGCAUGUAGGAUGUAAUUAUCUUUAUGCAUAUUUCGUUUCAUAUAAUUAAGAAUUGAGCCCCAUUCUGUGUUCCUUGGCUUCAACUUGACUUUGCGGAUCUUUUUUUACAUUGAUUCAAAACAAUACGAAGAACAUGUUGAAAAUCAUUUUCUACCACUACUCUAGGUAUGGGAUAAAAUGAGUUUAUUUGUUAUUUGCAGUACCUGAAAGAACAAAGGCUUCCUCCUAUGACAUUUAUUCCUCUUCAGUCAGUACGUGUCAAGCCAGUGCUUGAAAGAUCGAGAAAUUUGGGCGGCACAGCGAAGCUGGCGCUCGAUGUUAUCCAAUAUCCUUUGUGGGUAGCUUGAGAUCAUUUGGAUGUAUUAUAUCAUAGAUCGACCAACGUAGGAAGGUUAAUGUGAGAAGGUUUCCAGUUUAUGUUUUUAAACCUUAACCACGCCACGUUCGAUCCUGAAUUGGAGAAGGCGGUCCUCUUUGCUGUUGGAAAUACUCUUGUCUGUGACGAUCUUGAAGAAGCAAAAUCUAACAAAUGGGAUGAUAAGAAAAUUAAAGGUUUGAAUUAUUGAGUUGUCACCAACUGGUUUAAAGUGCCUUCACUUUCAGGGUCUGAAGACUCAUCAUGAUUUCGGUUGUGCAGGACUGGUGAAAAAGAAAGAAGAAUGUGAACAAGAAUUGGAAAAUAUUGGAUCUAUUCGAGAGAUGCAGAUAAAGGAGUCCGAAAUAUCUGGUAAAAUAAGUGGAAUUGAGAAAAAGAUUCAAUAUGCGGAAAUUGAGAAGGUUAACCAAUUUAUCUUUUCCAAGAUGCUUACUUUUAUAAUUUACUUCAGUGUAUACUGUUCAGGAAUUACUAAUUAGUGGAUUUGUUUUACAGAAAAGCAUCAAAGACAAACUUCCAGAUCUUGAGCAAGACAAGCGGAAUAUUACUGAAGAAAGUAGACGCAUAAAUCUUGAACUUUCUAAGGUAAUCUAAUAUCUUUUUUCUGAUAUUUGGUAAAUUUUUAAAAGCCGAUGACAAUAAUAUGACUGAGUGCCGUUGGUAUUAUAGUCAAGAGCUGAGGUUGAUAAGAGGAAUGCAGAGAUCAGGAAGUUGGAGAAAAUAAUCAAUGAGAUUGUGGACGGUAUCUAUAAGGAUUUUAGCCAGUCUGUUGGUGUUGCUAACAUACGUGAAUAUGAAGAAAAGCAGCUCAAGGAGGCUCAAGAAGUGGCUGAAGAAAGGCUGAAUCUGAGUAACCAGCUUGCUAAGUUAAAAUACCAGUAUGUCGUCUCUUAUGCUCUGUUUUUCUGGUUACAUAUAACUUCUCAAAAUCUAUCUAUUUCUUAUGUCCAUUUCUCUGCUCCGACCCUGAAGUCGACUUUUCAUCUGUUUUUUCUCGGUUCUGGUUAAGAAUAAACUUUUUGCUGCGCAUCAUAUUGGUCUUGCAUUUUGACUUUCACGUACCUCAUAGAAAAGAAAGUCACUACAACUCUGUGAGAUUUAUGUGAUUAAUAGGCAGCUAUUUGAUAAGAACCUUGGUAUUAUCUUCCUCAAACACAAACAAUUGUAGUAUACGAUCCUCUCACGAGCAUAAUCGCAUUAUUCUACAAUGUUCACCCUCUCUCAGACUAUUACAGUUUCGAUAUCCUUUUACAUUGUAAAGUUUUGUAUUUAUACUAAGCUGAAAAGAAAUAACUGCAAAGUCUCUCAAUCUCUCAGAGUCUUUGAUCAGCUUUCAAAUGUUUUCUUCUUCCAACUGCUUUCAAAUAACUACAGCUCUGUGAGAUUUAUGUGAUUAAUAGGCAGCUAUUGUCUACCUUAUCAAGUGUGUAAAGGUCAUUAUAUGUAGUUUUGUAAAAAUCUUAAUGUCAAACUCUGCAAUACGUUAGCUGGCUUGCUAAGUUGCCAUACUGCUUUCUAAUGAAUGGAACUCGAGUUGUCCAAAUGGAAGCCUUUUUUCUUGGUCAACUUAAAUAGAGUUUAUUGAAUUUCAGGGUGGAAUACGAGCAAAACCGAGAUGUGGGGUCACGAAUUCGAAAGCUAGAAUCUUCUGUCAGUUCCUUGGAAGCUGAUUUGGAAAAAAUACAGAAGAGGAAGUCUGAACUCAAGGAGUUAACAGAAAAAGCUACUAAUGAAAUCAACAAUUGGAAGAAGGAAAUGCUAGGUAUUUGAUUCUGUCUCUACUUAAAUCUGAUGGCCUCGAUUCUAUGCUAUGUUUUUUCAAUUACUAGAGCCUUUAUGAUUUGUCAAUUUGAUGGUUUCAUUCAUAGUAAGACAUCAACAUGAUUCAGUAUAGUACAUUGUCCGUGUUGAGUUUGCUUCGUCACUAUUGAUGACCUCUUAUGUUGGAGCCUUGAUACUGGAGUAAUGAAAUAUGGAAUAAAAUAUGGAACAUUCUUACUCUUUUGCGAGACUGUCUAAUUGUAUGGAUCUUUAAUCACUCUUUAACAAAUUGAUUGUUUCGUUACAUUGAUCCUUGAUGUUUGUAGAUAUCUCUGACUUUGGUUUGAACAAAAGUUGGUACGUACAUGAUCUGCUAGACCUCAUGCGUUAAUUGUAUGGUUACACUUCAUCAUAAAAGAAGCGAUCAUAUUAAGAUAAAAUGCUAGUUGCUGACAAAUGGCCAAUGUGAUGAUUCAGUAUUAUAGAUUCUCUUCCCUUGUUAUCAUCUUUGCUUAAACUAAUAUAAGCAUAGGUAACCUAUACCUGUCUGAUGUUCUUUGCCUAGCACAAAUCUGCAGCGGUUUCUUCUUUCACUGAGGUGCGUAUAUUCUAAUACUCUUGCUUGCAGAGUGCAAACAAAAAUCAGAAGAGUAUGAAAAGGAAAUCCUGGAUUGGAAAAAGCAGGUUUCUCAAGUGACAACAAGCAUAACCAAACUCAGUCGUCAGAUACUUUCUAAGGUAAAAUGGAGACUCAUUAAAUCCUUUCCCAAAGAUCUGGUAUGUCUCUAAGUAUAGGUCCACUAAAGCUCUUUUUGCUAUCAGGAAACGCAAAUUGGGCAGCUGAUCUCGCAAAAACAGGAAAUAACUGAGCAGUGUGAGCUCGAACGUAUUACCCUUCCUGUUUUAUCAGAUGCUGCGGAGGAAGAUGACUCAGCUGGGCCACAGUUUGACUUUAGUGAGUUGGAUAGAGUUUAUCUCAAAGAACGGAGACCAUCUGCUCGUGACAAGAUAGAUGCGGAAUUUAGGCAGAAAAUAGAAUCUGAAACAUCAGAGGUUGAAAGAACGGCCCCAAACUUGAGAGCACUUGACCAGUACGAGGCUAUACAGGAGAAAGAAAGACAAGUUAGCCAGGAGUUUGAAGCUGCCAGGAAGGAGGAGAAACAAAUGGCGGAUGCAUACAAUGUCGUAAAGCAGAAGAGGUAACUCGAAAUUUCUCUUGUGAAUGAUCUCAGCUUUGAAGAAUGUUGCUACCAAAUAGCAUCGACUUUAUAGUGGAACCAAAACUCGACAAAUAAAAGUCUGAAGAUUCUAGUUCUGUGGAAAGUACCUAAUAGAGUUACUCUUUGGAUAAACGCCAUGAUUAGAGUUUUUGCUGCUGACUACGAACUGUUUGUGCAGGUAUGAGCUAUUUAUGGGAAGCUUUCAACCACAUUUCUAGCAUUAUUGACAAGAUCUACAAGCAGCUAACCAAGAGCAAUACACAUCAAAUGGGUGGGACUGCUUAUCUAAACCUAGAGAAUGAGGAUGAUCCGUUUCUACAUGGUAUAAAGUAUACUACAAUGUCCCCAACAAAGCGUUUUCGUGACAUGGAAAAGCUCUCUGGAGGAGAGAAAACAGUUGCGGCCUUGGCAU
rnacentral:lncRNA from 1 species